GACGAACGCUGGCGGCGUGCUUAAUACAUGCAAGUCGAACGGAAAGGCCCUGCUUUUGUGGGGGGCUCGAGUGGCGAACGGGUGAGUAACACGUGAGUAACCGGGCCGUGACUUGGGGAUAACUUCAGGAAACUGGGGCUAAUAUCGGAUAGAAUCGCCUGCGGCAUGGAGUGCGUUGGAAAAGUUCGGCGGUUGGGGAUGGACUCGGGGCUUAUUAGCUUGUUGGUGGGGUAGUGACUUACCAAGGCUUUGACGGGUAGCCGGCCUGAGAGGGUGACCGGGGACCUUGGGACUGAGAUACGGCCCAGACUCCUACGGGAGGCAGCAGUAGGGAAUAUUACCCAAUGGGCGGGAGUCUGAUGCAGCAACGCCGCGUGCGGGAUGACGGGCUUCGGGUUGUAAACCGCUUUCGAAGGUGACGAAGAGUGAGUGACGGUAAUGGGUCAAGAAGCACCGGCUAACUACGUG
rnacentral:rRNA from 1 species